GAUGAACGCUGGCGGCGUGCCUAAUACAUGCAAGUCGAGCGAAGCGGGGAAGGGUGAGUAACACGUGGAUAACCUCCUCUAAAACUAGGAUAAAUUAGGGAAACCGGCGCUAAUACUGAAAAUUAUAGCUGGAUCUGCUCUGCAUUAGCUAGUUGGUAAGGUAACGGCGUACCAAGGCAACGAUGCAUAGCCGACCUCAGAGGUGGAUCCGCCAAACUGGAAGUGGGACACGGUCCAGACUCCUACGGGAGGAAGCAGUAGGGAAUCUUCCGCAAUGGGCGAAAGCCUGACGGAGCAACGCCGGGUGAGUGAUGAAGGUCUUCGGAUCGUAAAACUCUGUUAUGAGGGAAGCGGUACCUAAUCAGAAAGCCACGGCUAACUACGUGCCAGCCGCCGCGGUAAUUC
rnacentral:rRNA from 1 species